rnacentral:rRNA from 1 species
GGGCCCGCACAAGCGGUGGAGCAUGUGGUUUAAUUCGAAGAUACGCGCAGAACCUUACCAACACUUGACAUGUUCGUCGCGACUCUAAGAGAUUAGAGUUUUCGGUUCGGCCGGACGAAACACAGGUGCUGCAUGGCUGUCGUCAGCUCGUGUCGUGAGAUGUUGGGUUAAGUCCCGCAACGAGCGCAACCCUCACUUUUAGUUGCCAUCAUUAAGUUGGGCACUCUGAAAGAACUGCCAGUGAUAAGCUGGAGGAAGGUGGGGAUGACGUCAAGUCCUCAUGGCCCUUACGUGUUGGGCUACACACGUGCUACAAUGGUAUCUACAACAGGAAGCAAGACUGCGAAGUUAAGCAAAUCCCUAAAAGAUACCUCAGUUCGGAUUGCACUCUGCAACUCGACUCCGUGAAGCUGGAAUC